AUUGAACGCUGGCGGCAUGCCUUACACAUGCAAGUCGAACGGUAACGGGUCCUUCGGGAUGCCGACGAGUGGCGAACGGGUGAGUAAUAUAUCGGAACGUGCCCAGUAGUGGGGGAUAACUGCUCGAAAGAGCAGUUAAUACCGCAUACGACCUGAGGGUGAAAGGGGGGGAUCGCAAGACCUCUCGCUAUUGGAGCGGCCGAUAUCAGAUUAGCUAGUUGGUGGGGUAAAGGCCUACCAAGGCAACGAUCUGUAGUUGGUCUGAGAGGACGACCAGCCAGACUGGGACAGAGACACGGCCAGACUCCUACGGGAGGCAGCAGUGGGGAAUUUUGGACAAUGGGCGCAAGCCUGAUCCAGCAAUGCCGCGUGCAGGAAGAAGGCCUUCGGGUUGUAAACUGCUUUUGUCAGGGAAGAAAUCUUCUGGGCUAAUACCCCGGGAGGAUGACGGUACCCGAAGAAUAAGCACCGGCUAACUACGUGCCAGCCGCCGCCGUAA
rnacentral:rRNA from 1 species